UGGUAAUAUAACAGCAAGCAAUAUUCCUGCAUCAGUUACCCCCACGAUCAGAGCUGCCCCGACCCCUCCAGCAGCUAUGAUAAGGAUGACAGCGGCUGCACAUCCUAUCUGAGAGAAUCCAUAGCGGCGUUCUAUUGAGGAGCUUGAUUCAUAUGCGCACGGCUUAUAAUAUCGAUGUUUGGUUGGUCCGAGCAACAGCUUUACGGCGUAGAUGGUCGCUGCCGAGGCGAGAGAUUAAUCGACAGAUGAAUGGAAUAAAAACAAGAGUCGUUAAUUGGAACAGUCGUCGUCACUGUGUGGGCAACUGCCGUUCCCAGUUGCUGGGACGUUCCACCGAUCGUGUUGAGACUGAGAGUCGAAUAUCUCGGGGCCUCGUCCAUGAGGGUGGCCUGUUCGUAAC